rnacentral:rRNA from 1 species
UUUCCCUCAGGAUAGCUGGCACUCGCUUGAGCGAGUCUCAUCUGGUAAAGCGAAUGAUUAGAGGCCUUGGGGCCGAAACGACCUCAACCUAUUCUCAAACUUUAAAUGGGUGAGAUCUCUGGCUUGCUUGAACGUUGAAGCCACGAGAGCAAUAUUGCAAUGGAUCAGAGUGCCAAGUGGGCCAAUUUUGGUAAGCAGAACUGGCGCUGUGGGA